UAUAUAAAUGGAGUAUGCCUAACGACACAAGAACACACACGCAUUCAUCCCAAACCAGUCGACCACAGGAGAACACACGCAUCCUGAUCGACCACCAUGGCUUUCUCCUCGAGAAGCUUGGCCGUGUUUCUGUGCGUGAUCCUGGUCUCGCUCGCGUUCGCCACGCGGGACGCGCUCGCGGCCAGAGCCCUUCUUCAAGACGGCCCUCCAUACACAACCGGCCCUCCUUACACCGGUGUUGGCUAUCCUGCCGUGCCUGGACCUUAGGCGCAGGAUUCGGUUACGAUGCUUCGAUCAAGUAUAUGUAUGUAGAUACGGCGCCCAUGGAUAAAUAAGUUUGUCGCCCAGCAUCCACUCGCCGGUCAUAUAUGGCGCACAACUGUAUUCCGUUUUAUAAGUUUCCCUUUUCCGAAUAAACGCCAUGGAGCUAGCUGUGUGUGUGCGCGCGUGCGCGCGCUUGCGAUGUGCGUGAAUAGAGUCGAGAGUCUGUGGGUCGUGUCCUAGUUGAGGCGCUGCCUGAAAUGUAUAAGUCUUUUGGGUAACACGACGUCUAACAUUUACUUC